GGUCCUUCUUGAACAUCUAUUGAGCCCAGGAUUGUGCUAUUGACUUUGGAGAAGUGGCUGGAGGAGCUGUCAAAGGGCAUUUAGAAGGGAAAGAGGCUGCUCAGUGACUUUUGGAGACUUUGGCCAAGAUUUUGCUGAGGAGUGGAGAUGGGAGGGGAACUCACCGAUCCCUGUGAGGCACUUGGAAAAUAUAAGCAGAUACUUAAGCCACAGCUGGGCAAGUUUUGUAGGUUUGGAAUUUCAGCUUUUUCCACGGGCCAGGCAUUGAGAUUCUGGGGAAUGGACUGGAUAAGACCGAACAGGACUCUGCUCCAGGGGGGGUGAUGAAAGGCUUAUUCCCCCAUGGCCCCGCCACCCCAGUGCCCAGUACAGCAGCACAGCAUCACCAGGAUAACUUACAAGUCAUCAGGUACAGCCAUCGGUUCCAUUUCUCUUUUAUUUCCUUGAUGGGGCUUUAUUUCUUACCGUGAUCAAAGGCACAUAACAAAAUUUGCUGCUUUAAAUACCCUCAAGAGGACAGUUCAGUGGCAUCGAGGGUGGCCCCAUUCCUUGGCAGCCAUCACCACCAGCCAGCUCCAGAGCUUUUAUUAUUUUUUUUAUCUUUCC
ensembl:lncRNA